UACAGAGGGUGCGAGCGUUGUUCGGAAUUACUGGGCGUAAAGCGCGCGCAGGCGGCUUUUUAAGUCCGACGGUGAAAUGCCGGGGCUCAACCCCGUGCCCGCCGCGGAUACUGGGAGCUGGAGACGAGUAGAGGCAAGCGGAAUUCCGGGUGUAGCGGUGGAAUGCGUAGAGAUCCGGAAGAACACCGGAGGCGAAGGCGGCUUGCUGGGCUCGGUCUGACGCUGAGGCGCGAAAGCCAGGGGAGCGAACGGG
rnacentral:rRNA from 1 species